GAAUCAGUACGCUGGUCGUGCCUUCGGUAUGUACUGGUGUCACUGGUUUCUCCCUUCUGAAGAACCAUCAUGCCAUUUACUUGGUGUGGUGGGGAAUCAGGACUGUUACUUUGAAAAAAUUAGAGUGUUUAAAGCAGGCAUUUGCUCGAAUACAUUAGCAUGGAAUAAUAGAAUAGGACC
rnacentral:rRNA from 1 species